GUCAAGUCAUCAUGCCCCUUAUGCCCAGGGCUUCACACAUGCUACAAUGGCUCAUACAGAGGGCUGCGAAGCCGUGAGGUGGAGCGAAUCCCUUAAAGUGAGUCUCAGUUCGGAUCGGGGUCUGCAACUCGACCCCGUGAAGUCGGAGUCGCUAGUAAUCGCAGAUCAGCAACGCUGCGGUGAAUACGUUCCCGGGCCUU
rnacentral:rRNA from 1 species